GAAAAAGUUUGAUUCUUGCUUUUGUCUUUAUGUUAAUUAUUAAGAUCGUAUGAAAAUUGUUAUGUAGGAAGGUAAAAUUAAAAUUUAUAUUUAGUUUAAAACGAGGUAAGUUAAUAAUAAUUGAUUGAAUUUUUGUUCUCAGCGUAAAAGAUUAAAAUUAUAUAUGAAAAUAUGAAUUAGUAGUAAUGUAAUAUAUUAUAUCUGAUUAAAAUUAUUGUGCCAGCAUUCGCGGUUAAACUUUAAGGUAAAAUAAAGAAAAAUUAGUAUUGUUAGUUAUAUGGUUAAUAAAUAAAUUAUGAAUAUUAUUAAGGUGGAAUUAAUUGUAAUUAAUUUAUAAGUGAAAAAAGAAUAAUAGAAGCUAAAAAUUUUUAAAGAUAAACUAGGAUUAGAUACCCUACUAUAUUAAAAAGUAAAGAAAAAGAAAGCUAGAUUAUUAAUAGUUAUUUACUUGAAAUUUAAAGAAUUUGGCGGUAAUUUAGUCUUAUUAGAGGAACCUGUUUUGUAAUCGACAAUCCACGAAGUAUCUUACUUAUUAGAAAUAGUUUGUAUACCAUCAUAGAAGAUAAUUUUGAUAAAAUAAAAUUAUUGAAAUUAAUUUAUUAAGAAAAUUAGAUCAAGGUGCAGCUUAUAAAUAAGUUAAAAUGGGUUACAAUAAAUUUUAUUUAUAUGAAUAUAAAAUGUAAGUAUAUUAUGGAAGGAGGAUUUAAUUGUAAUUAAAGUUUAAUAAGCUAUAAUGAUAAGAGCUCUAAAUUAUGUACAUAUCGCCCGUCGCUUUCAUGAAUUUAUGAGAUAAGUCGUAACAUAGUAGAUGUACUGGAAGGUGUAUCUAAGAUGAAA
rnacentral:ncRNA from 1 species